UUUUAUUUUAUUUUUAUUUUUUUUAUUGGGGUAGCCCCCAAAAUAUUGGGACAUAUAAAAAAAGAAAAAAAAGAAUAAGUGCACUUGAGUAUAACAAUGGCUGGGUGAGGCUGGUAUAAAUGUCUAUUCUGCACAAGGUACAGACAAGUCUGGUGGGAUCCAUGCCUGGUUCAUUUUAAUAAACAUGAGCUUGUUCACGUUGACCGUGGACAGGCGGCUGUGCUUGUCUGUGAGAACCUCGUGCCGAUAGCACGUCCCCGUGACGGCGACAACACAUUCGGAUGUCAACUUUUGAUGCUAUUUUCCGCGCCUACGAUGGUGACCACGGGUAAAGGGGAAUCAGGGUUCGAUUCCAGAGAGGGAGCCUGAGAAACAGCUACCACAUGCAAGGAAGCAAAUUACCCACUCCCGACGCAGGGAGGUAGUGACGACAAAUAAACUACUCUUUCGAGGCCCUCUGAUUGUAAUGAGUCCACUUUAAAUCCUUUAACUUGGAUCAAUUGGAGGGCAAGUCUGGUGCAGAGUAACUGACCUGUUUGUGCUGCAGCUGAAACUCCACUA